GGGAUCAAAAGAAUCCACAUCAAAAUGAAAGAUGAAGUGUUGAAUCUGAAUUCACAGCUGCUUUAUGCAAUCUAGAAAGAGUUCAAGCUGGAGUGCAUGGCACAAUCCUGGCUCACUGCAACCUCUGCCUCCUGGGCUCAAGGCAUCCUUCCACCUCAGCCUCCCAAGUAAUUGAGACUACAGGAGAGAAAACAAUGCGGUCAUCUAGAAUGACAGAUUGUCAUCACUGGGGCACGGGAGAGGGGUUGAGCAAGUCAAUGGAUGUUUUCUAGAGCCUAGAGAAUAUGUGUGAUACUCUGAAGUAUAUUUUUUCUAAAUCCCAGAUUCCAGCAUUAAGCACUGUGCAGUUUUGAGAGAAGAAGUUAUAAAGCAAAACUGACUUGAGUAACCACCAGCCCAACCUUCGGGACUUUGUGGGGAUUGCUAUGGCUCCCCUGGACUUACAAGCAAUAGUGAUGCAGAACCUGCCAUCAAUAUGUGUAAUGCUUGUCAAAAAAUAAUCACCCAAGUAAUGUUUUAAAUUUUACUGGUCAGUGCACUACCAAUACUAGUUUUGGCAUAGCAGAUACUAAAUAACAAAGCUUUGUUUCGAAUAAAUGUUUGUUCAGUUUCUACUUUUUGCUAAAUCCCGUGAUGAUGUGCUCCCACUUGAUAGCAUGUUAUACUGUACUAGUAAAUUUUACUUGCUGUUUAACAAAGGAGGAUUAAAUGAAUGGUGUGUUACAGUGGGUAUACUGACAGGAAAGGCAUGAGAAAAAACUAUCUAAAUACAACUGAGGGAAGAAUUAAGUGUUGAAGGGAAGGUGAAAAUGUGCACUGAGAUUGGAUGGGUGAGUAGGACUUCAGAGAGUGGAGAAGGCUCUAUGGCUUUUUAAUGGAAACAAUAGCAUGAGAUAAAUAUCAGGGCUAUGGAAAUGCAUACUGCACCGGGGCAAUGUUUGUAAGUCUGAGAUGGUUGAAGAAUACGGUUUAGGAAGAGAUACAGUGAAAAAUAAAGCUUAGAACUGAGACAAACUGUCUCCAGCCCUGGAUUCUCAGUUAUUCCAUUUGAAACCUAGUAAUAUAAACAACUUGAAUGCAUUACAAAGGUUUUGAUCUGACUUGGGCUUUGGAAAGAGAUUUCUGACUUUCUGUAGCUCAAAACUAUAAGCAGCUUAUAUUUCUUCUUUACUCCUUUUUUUCUAAAAUAAGGAUAAUGAUACCCAUCUGACAGAAAUUUUAUGAGCAUAAUGUAAAAUUAAACAUGGAAUCCAUGGCGCUUUACAAAAUAAUGUGUAUUGUCUCUCCACAGAAUGAAGGCGUAUUUGAUACUAUUAACAUAGAAGUCUUGAAAAUAGAAAAAAACACUUCUUGGGUGGUGAAAACUUUCCAGUAUGGUAAAAGUUAAUUAGAAUUUGUGUGAAUUAUACUGUAUAAUUACCAAGGCAAGCACAGUAAUAUGAAUUUAAAAUAGUAAGAGUAAGAUUAAAGGCAUAUAAUUUAGUUCAAAUGUGACAUCUUGACAACCUGCAAAA